rnacentral:rRNA from 1 species
GAUCAUUAACGCGCAGGCCGGAGGCUGGCCCCCCACGAUAGGGCCAAACGUCCGUCAGGGGUGAGCAGAUGUGCGCCGGCCGUACCGCCCCAUUCUUGUCUACCUUACUCGGUUGCCUCGGCGGGCCGCGCUCUCCCAGGAGAGCCGUUCGGCGAGCCUCUCUUUAGUGGCUAAACGCUGGACCGCGCCCGCCGGAGGACAGACGCAAAAAAAUUCUUUCAGAAGAGCUGUCAGUCUGAGCGUUAGCAAGCAAAAAUCAGUUAAAACUUUCAACAACGGAUCUCUUGGUUCCGGCAUCGAUGAAGAACGCAGCGAAAUGCGAUAAGUAAUGUGAAUUGCAGAAUUCCGUGAAUCAUCGAAUCUUUGAACGCACAUUGCGCCCCCUGGCAUUCCGGGGGGCAUGCCUGUUCGAGCGUCAUUUCAGCCCCUCAAGCCCGGCUUGUGUGAUGGACGACCGUCCGGCGCCCCCGUCUUUGGGGGUGCGGGACGCGCCCGAAAAGCAGUGGCCAGGCCGCGAUUCCGGCUUCCUAGGCGAAUGGGCAACAAACCAGCGCCUCCAGGACCGGCCGCCCUGGCCUCAAAAUCUGUUUUAUACUUAU